rnacentral:piRNA from 1 species
UGAUAAUUCCCACCAAGCUGCUCU